rnacentral:rRNA from 1 species
GUGUCAGCCGCCGCGGUAAUACGUAGGGGGCGAGCGUUGUCCGGAUUUAUUGGGCGUAAAGAGCUCGUAGGCGGUUCCGCAAGUCGGAUAUGAAAUCUCCACGCUCAACGUGGAGGGGUUAUUCGAUACUGCGGUGACUAGAGUCCGGUAGGGGAGUGUGGAAUUCCCGGUGUAGCGGUGAAAUGCGCAGAGAUCGGGAGGAACACCCGUAGCGAAGGCGGCACUCUGGGCCGUGACUGACGCUGAGGAGCGAAAGCGUGGGUAGCGAACAGGAUUAGAUACCCUUGUAGUCC